GGGGGGGGGGGGGAGAAAUUGGGCUGCUCUGGUUUCAUUAUUUUAUUCUUAAUUAAUAAAUCGACUUCACUGCCGAGGAAGGGGCUUUGAAGAGGACUUUGUUUAACUCGGGCAAGGGGCGCGCAGAGCUCCGCGCAUCCCUCCUCCUCCUCCUCCUCCUCGGCUCCGCGGCCGCGCAAGGACCGCGGGGCUGCGGGGGAGCGGGGCUUCCACCUGGGAAAGGGAAAUAAAAAAAAAAUUUCCAGGCAAAACAUCCGCAGCCAACGCUCGGCAUAAGCACACCUGAUCGGCGCAUCGAGCGACUGAAAGUUGAAUUUUUAUUUUUAAUUUUUUUUUUCUUUAAGUCCAAAUAAAUGCCUGGAGUGGAGGCGUCGCUCGGGCGAGCGCUGGCGCUUGGCAGCGCCGGGGACGAGCGGGGGGGACGGGACUUUUCCCUUGGCUCUGGGGCACGGAUUCGUUUGCAAACUGCAGCUUAAGCGCUCCCACCACCCCGCAUUGUCCUGCGCUUAAAUAUCCUGAAUUAGGCAGCUCUGAAAAGUCCCUUUAAAGCAAGCGGCGAGGGCGAGCCGCGCUCGCACAACUCCUCGGGGUCGAGCCGCCGUUCAAACUAAAAAUCAUAAUAAAAAAUAAUGCGGAGGCGGACGGGGCCGGGGCUGGCGGCGGCGGAGGGGCUGAGCCGGGCCGGGCAGGGCGGAGGGGCCGCGGGCGCAUCCCCCAGCACCUCUCAGCCAGCGGCUAAAGAAGAUCUGCAAAGAAUGGCAAAGAAGAUUUUCGAUUAAAACCUUAGCCCAUCUCCGCGGAUUACUUUAUAUCGAUUCCUAUAUAUAUGGCUGCAAUUGAGGGGCUCUAAUUAAAAAUCCGAAGGUUGGGGGGGAGGAGGGAAAAAAAAAAUAAAAGUUCUUUCUGCGCCUCAAUAAAAGGAGCUUUUCAUAUACGGGAAAUAAAGGUUGUAAAAGGUUACAAACGAAA